AGCCACAUAGAUUGGGAGAACGAAGUGAAAGACUGAGAUAUCUACCUACGAUAGUUCAGCAGAAUGG
rnacentral:tRNA from 1 species